GAAAAAAAAGAGAUAGAAAAGAAACAGAAUGAAACGAAACAGAGAGCAAGGAAGAAAAGAAAAGAAAGAAAGGGAGAAAAGGGAAAUUUCAGAUUUCAAGGUUUGAAAGUUUAAUUGUCAAUGUGGUACCGGAAAUCUCGGCUAAGAAAGGACAAGACAAAGUCAAUGGAAGUUAGCUCAGAAACUACGAUCGAUACCUUGCGGAAAUCAUCAAGCCAGAUCGUCUUAAAGCUCACACUAUCCUACCAUUCGAAUCGAUAGUUAUAUGAUUAUUAUGAGUUUAGGGUUGUGGCAUGUAUAUAAGUGAUGUGGUGUGCAUUUUAGUAUGUGAAUGUGUUUUACUUUGUGGCAAGUUUUUUUAACCAUUACCUAUUAUGUUGAAUUGGUGUUUGACUGCCUCCGGACCUACUAACGUCUAGAAUGUGAAUAUUGCAGUAAAAGAUAUAUUAAUGAGGCAGUAUCCGCAAGUA